GACGAACGCUGGCGGCGUGCUUAACACAUGCAAGUCGAACGGAAAGGCCCUGCUUUUGUGGGGUGCUCGAGUGGCGAACGGGUGAGUAACACGUGAGUAACCUGCCCUUGACUUUGGGAUAACUUCAGGAAACUGGGGCUAAUACCGGAUAGGAGCUCCUGCUGCAUGGUGGGGGUUGGAAAGUUUCGGCGGUUGGGGAUGGACUCGCGGCUUAUCAGCUUGUUGGUGGGGUAGUGGCUUACCAAGGCUUUGACGGGUAGCCGGCCUGAGAGGGUGACCGGCCACAUUGGGACUGAGAUACGGCCCAGACUCCUACGGGAGGCAGCAGUGGUGAAGAUUGCACAAUGGGCGGAAGCCUGAUGCAGCAACGCCGCGUGCGGGAGGACGGCCUUCGGGUUGUAAACCGCUUUCGCCUGUGACGAAGCGUGAGUGACGGUAAUGGGUAAAGAAGCACCGGCUAACUACGUGC
rnacentral:rRNA from 1 species